AUGUUUUCCUUCACGAACCCUAAUCUCGGUCACCGCUGCUGAUCAAGAAAACCCUAGAUGUGCAUACGCAUCUUCUUCAUCAAAUCCCCGGAUCAAGCCGCUACAAUCGUUUCUUCAAAGAUCCAGCCACUAUAAUCAUUCUGGGAACGGUUUUGGAUGGACAUGCCCUUAUAUUAAUUACAGUUGUGCCAUGUUAAGAACAAUGAUAGAGUAAAAGAGAAGGUGGGCGAAGAUCAAAGUUCAACGAAGUUAAUUGUGAGAAAACUUUUUUUAGGUCAAAUAUGAAAAAUAUUUAUACCCAUUUCAUUCCAAUUGUGAGAAAUGUAGCUUUUGAAGCUACCGAGAAAGAGUUGCGCCAAUUGUUUAGCCCUUUUGGUCAGGUAAAGAGUUUAAGGCUUCCAACAAGGUUCGGGAAGCAUAGAGGAUUUGCUUUUGUCGAGUAUGUAACAAAACAAGAGACGAAAAACGCCUUGCAAGCUCUAUCAAACACUAAUUUAUAUGGGCGUCAUCUGGUAUGCUUUUCGGGGAAAUUUUUAAUUUAAAUUUUACCUAUUUAUCUUCUAUUAUCAUAUUACAGAAACACAGGUUUUUAAACCGUGGACAAAGUUAAACAUUACUAUUUGUUAGUUUGUUACUGAAUGGCUGAGUACGUAGAAGCUAGAACGAGUCAUAAUCCUCUCAAAAAGAUCUACACUUUAAAACCAGAGGCAACGAUUUCAUCCCAUUUGCGUAUGAAUGGGUAAAAAUAGGUAAAAAUGUAUCGGGUCAAAUCACUCAAAUAGCUGGAACAUGUAGAUGAUUAUAUGAACCUGUGAAUGUCUUACUUUACUUACAAGUACAUGUUCUUUCAACUUAUUAUUUAGAAUAUUUCACUACAUUGAAUAUUUGACUAAUUAUUUAUUCAUUUGUUGUGUAUGCACCCCAACUAGAGUCCUGAAAAUGGUGGUUUUGCAAUUUGCAGCCACCAGUUCCGAAACCAUAUUUACAGAUUUAGGACGAUAUGCUACACGAUUGUAUGUUCGUCUAUGGCUCCAUGGACUCUAGCGGGGUUUAAGAUCACUUGACGGUAGUACAUAUUGUAUUAUAGUAUUAUGAAGGAACUAGGAAAAUUUGGUUAGCAAAGAAGUCUGGACAGAUAUAUAAGCAUCCGUAGGAUGUUGGUGUAUACAGAAAUGUCACUAUGGUACCACCCUUUUCUUCAUUAUGCAAAGGUACAAUCAUUUAUACAUGGUGCUGAGUACAAUCCCAAAAACAAUACCAACAACCCAUAGCCAUAAUCCCCACCUCAUACUGCAGCCAAACAUUACUAUUUUGCAAUAAAAAAUGAACCAAAUGUGUUUGUUGCUCAACUCGACCUGUUACCCAACCUACCCAUGCAUUUUUUUUUUGUCAGGGUCAUUACCACAUGCCUAAGACACGUGGACUUUGCCUUUCUGAGGAACAAACUAUCAGCAUAGUACGUUUUGAGAAGACCAAGAAUUGGGAUGACAAAAAACGGUUAGAUAUAUUUUCAUUGUCAAGUGUGCUUGACAAGCGACAAAAAUGAGAUUUUUGAUGACGAGCGUAUGAAUUCAUUAGAAGAAGCUAAGAAACAAGCCAUAUCCGGCGGAUUGGACAGAGUUGUUCUCAAGCAAAUGGUAUAUUCAGAAACCCUGCAUCAGUAAGAGAGACUAAAGAAUCAAAUCUUUCCCUCCUUACUUAUGGCAAAUUAAACAGUGUCCCCGAAGCGAUACAUGCUCAAUAUCUUAUAGGCGUAAUCGUCGAUUUAGUACAAGAAAUCACAAGUGCAGUUACGUGUUUAAAAAACGAAGAUGAAGGAGCGGAGGUGAAAGAGAGCACAAACAAGAUUGAACCGUCUUUUUUUGCUGAAUUUGUAUCACAAGUGAUGCAGCAUUGAAGUUCGGUACAUUCGAGUUGGGUCGCGUAGGGUCAUUUUUUAUUAAAUGUAUCCCGUGUGAGAAUUGAGUUUGGUUAGGAUGAUAAGUAGUGGAGUUCUGUUUAUCUUUAAUUUCUUGAUCACUCAAAUGAAGCUGGUUAAAUUUUUCGCAUUUUUAUGUCAUUGAAUGACACUAUUUACUUAAGUUGUUAUUGUUAACAUCUAUGAAGACAUUUUUUAAUUUAUUAUUGUAUUAACAAUUAAUCAAUGUUGUGUAAAAGUUUAAUGAAAUACUAUGUUACAUUUUAACAAAAAAAACAUGUUUAUUAACUAAUAAAAAUAAACAACCCGGGAAGCAUUCCCGGGUAAUAACCUAGUGAAAGAUACAUAUAAUUUUGCGUUCCAUAAUACAAUAACAAUGAAUAUUUUGGUAGGAAAGUUACGGGAAAAUCUUGUUUCAUACUCUGUCUAGUACGUAUCACACAUUUAUUUACCUUGUAUUUACCUGUCAAGUAUCAAGUAUACCCGUUAGUGUUUUAAAAAAAAAAAACCAUGGGAAUUUUCAUAUUGUUUACUUUCAGUACCAAGGGGACAUAGAUGCAACAUGGGUUAUGAUAUUUUGGGUCAUGGCAACCCUAUGUCAUUCAUGACCUUUUCACAACCACAAGCAAUAGGCUUGUGAGACCCCCCCACCCCACCCCUGGCCAUCGUAUAGGUAUGGUAGUGUCAUGAUGCAUACGAGAAACCAUAACCUCCUUUUAAGCCAGUUCCACACAUCCACACAUCCCAUUAAGCAAUCGUUUAAUCAAAGUUUAUGGCAUUGUUGUAAUAAUAUUGUUUUUGCAAUUACAUUUAAUGCAUUAGUUAUUUGUUAAAGUUUUAGAAAGAUGGAAAAAGAAGUGUUUUUGGGUCAACCCGACCCGACCCCUUUUGACCCGUUACAAGAAAGGUUUGUUUUGACCUGUUAGUGUUUAUAUUUGUCUUACAGGUUAUUGAGUUCUCUCUCACAAACGCUACAGAAUGCGGGUGUGGAUUUGACGCAUGCCACCAUAUCCGUACAGGUUGAUAUUGGGAAACGAGCAAAAAUAGAGGACCGACAUCUGGCGCAUCGGCUGCAAAGGAUGAUGAGUAUACUCAUUUUAGCAAUCAAGCAGUGGGCCAGUUUCAAGAUUUUAGCAAAGGGACAACUCACAUCAAGCUUCAAAAAUACUCAAGACAUGACCCUACUUCUCGACCCCGUAUUCAGCCUUUUUACGUAUGUGGGGUGGGGCGGGGCGGUUAUAUAACUGAAAGACCAGUCAAAGUUGUAUUUUUCGCGUCGGUUUUUUGUCGUUGGCAUCCUGAGAGAUCUGUGUUCUUCUGCUCUAUAAAGAAGUGUAUUACAGUUUUUGUUUGGUUGGUAGUGUGGAUGUGGUCUUUAGUUUUGGUAUGAA